rnacentral:rRNA from 1 species
CUGGCUCAGGACGAACGCUGGCGGCGUGCCUAAUACAUGCAAGUCGAACGGUCUUUCUAUGGAAGCUUGCUUCCACUGAGAAGAUAGUAGGCGAACGGGUGAGUAACACGUGGGGUAACCCUGCCCAUAAGAGGGGGGAUAACAUCCGGAAACGGGUGCUAAUACCGCAUAGUUUUCUUGAUCGCAUGAUCGGGAAAGGAAAGACGGCCUUUGUGCUGUCGCUUAUGGAUGGACCCGCGGCGUAUUAGUUAGUUGGUGAGGUAACGGCUCACCAAGACGAUGAUACGUAGCCGACCUGAGAGGGUGAUCGGCCACAUUGGGACUGAGACACGGCCCAAACUCCUACGGGAGGCAGCAGUAGGGAAUCUUCCGCAAUGGACGAAAGUCUGACGGAGCAACGCCGCGUGAGUGAAGAAAAGGGUUUUCGGAUCGUAAAACUCUGUUGUCAGAGAAGUAACAAGUUGGAGAGUAACUGCUCCAGCCUUGACGGUAUCUGACCAGAAAGCCACGGCUAACUACGUGCCAGCCGCUGC